AUGCUGCGCUUGGUGCCUGUUGCUCAAGCAGGCUGCAAAAUGAAUUUCUCCCCAAAAGCUCACAAUCUAAGAUCAGGAAUGAUUCAUGGACUAAAAGAUGUUUUCCAAGAAAUAAUGUUAUAUCUUAGCAAGGAGGAAAAUGUAGAUGUGAAAAACUUCUCUGCUUUCCUGGGGAGCUGCCAGUUUUGUGGGCUUGCCCAUGUGUUGCCCCAAUCCUGCUGCAUCCCACGGCACCAAACCUGCCCUGGGGUGGCCUCGAAGGGGGCUGGGAGAGCAGCCGUGCCUUCACAGCUUCCAGGGGACCAAAAGCACCUGAGCAGCCUCCCAGCUCUGAUGGGACCUCCUUGCAUCCUGGAAAGCACUGGCAGGAAAACCCUGAAGUCGUUGCAGGUCAGACUUUGGGUAUUACAUAAAAAGGAGAUUUGGGCUGUGGACACACGAGCACAUUGCCCUGAGGAUCCCAUAAAUCAACUGACCUGUGAGAGCCGCUUCUUAUCUGCGGCGAAAACCAGCCCAUGCAAGGAGGAAUUGGCUCUUUCCUUCUCUACGAAGAUGCAUGAUCAGACUUCCAUGGCACAUCCAGCUUUGCUCGAAGAGAGAGCCCAAUCGCCUGGAUGCGCUAUGAAAAAAACUAGGAAGCAGCUUCCUACGUGUUUUCACAGGAGAUGGCAUCACUUCCACCAAGAGCAAAGAGAUGUUUCUGCAGUUCUGGUGUUGGGCAGCAGGCUCAUGAAAGCAUUUCCGUAA
rnacentral:lncRNA from 1 species